AUCACCAUAUAAUCCAAUUACAAUUCGCCCAGCAAGUUUUCCAACAGGAUUCCCAAUGCUAAUAUCAAAAUAAACUUUGUUUGUCACUUUGGAUUGCAAAUCCGCCACCUCCACCGCGGCUUGAAUAGAACCAGAUGAACCGCCGGUUUUUUUGUGAACCGAACGGUUUGAAGAAGUGUCCAGACGCAACGAACCACCAAAUAAGCUUGACGAUGAGAAUGAAGAUUUCAGCAACUUCGGAUAAGCAGCAUAUGUAGGGUUCGCAACUCGUGGAACUGAAAUUGAGCCUAAAUUCGACACUGAAGCAAAUGUAGCUGCCAUAGUUGCCGAUUUCAGUUCUCCGGUACGGCGAGUUGAACUGCAAUAGAGAUAGAGAGAGAGAGUGUGUGUGGUUGGUGAAAAUGAGGGACAAAGAUGG
rnacentral:misc_RNA from 1 species